rnacentral:lncRNA from 1 species
AACCUGAUGUCAUCCUAAACUAAUCAAGUCCGCAGAGACCCCGUUUCCAAGUCAAUUGUAUUCUGAGGUCGUUGUUUCUAAGCAACACAGUUCUGUCCCUAGGAUUGGCUUCCUGCCUCUUUCCUCUGACUGGUGGCUCUCUGAUUUCAUGUGGCAGCUGUCAGAACCAAAAGGAAUCAGAGAGAGACUGGAGGGGGAAGAGUCUGUCCAUGGGCAGCAAAACAUUCAGAGACUCGCAGAGCCUAAAGAGACAGCCUUUUCUGGGAGUUCCUCACGAAGCAAGGUCAUCCGUGCUGCACAGUGCAUAGCUGAGUUCUCUGCAGGGGAAAAAAAAAAGCACACAGGGGUUACGGGAUGAAUAUGAAUUGGUUCAAAGGUAUUUUUAGGGCCAGAAAGAUGGCUCAGUAGUAAAGACUCCUGCCAUUAAGCCCGAUGACUUAAAUUCAAUCCCUGGGACCCACAUGAUGGAAGGAGAGAACCAACUCCCGUAAGUUGUGUUGAGUGCCUAAAUACAUAAAAAAAUAAAUAAAUAAAAAUACCUCCAAAAACAUAUUGGAGUUUUUGGUUAAAGGCAAAAGGAAGCCAUGUCUCAGCAGAAGGAAACUACUGUUCUCUAUAAAGAGCUGAAGCAACACUCCAAGAUCCGUAGGAUUCUUCAGGGUUUUUUAACCCUGAUGGAGUGAUACUACAACCCCACAGAGGAACCAGGAAGUGUGUCCUGCAGCUGCUUGAGCUAUACUGUGUGGCUCCGGUUGCUGCUGCUUCUCCAUCAAGCUCCCGGAGAUGAGAGACUUGAGAGGUGUGUCUGCUCGACCCCUCUCAUGAUCUACAGUUUGCAGGUAGCUGCGUCAGACUACUGGAGACUUUGCUGGGAAAUGGAGGAGAUGACAAACUGGCGUGUUAAUCACUUGCUCUCCUCCCAGGAGUCAAAGCCCGUGUCAAUAUUUAAUUUCUUUGACUAAUUCAUUUUGCCGCAACUUUUUAAAAAACCUUAAUCUUCCAACAACUCCUCUCCUGCCCCCUGGAAAACAACCCAGUGGGAGAGGUCGUGAGGUUAGAGGCAGUCCAACCCUGAGAGAGGGGGAGAGGGUAGAGGAAGUCCAACCCUGAGCAGCCUGUGCUUUGCCAGGUCACCAUCACCAAGUUCAGGGUGCAGGAUUGCCAUCCCUUUUGUCUCCUCCGUUCUGCUUUGCCAUUCUUUCCCUUGCUCUUCAUCCUUGCUGUUUCCCUCUAGCCUAUAAUUUCCAAAAGCUCCUGUCGGCCAGGAGGGGUGUAUCCAGGUGAUUCUUGCCUCGAGCAAAUUAUCAUUAUUAGCACAAGCUGCAUCCAUAAUGAGCUCACUCUUGCCACUAAAAACAAUUCUAUUACCUGAGGUGGAGGAGGAGGAGGAGAAGGGAAGAGGGGGAGGAGAAGAGGAGGAGGAAGAGGAGGGGAGGAGAAGAGGAAAAGGAGGAAUAAAAGAAGGGGAAGGAAGAGGAGGAGAAGGGGAGGAGAGAAGAGGAAGAGGAGGAAGAGGAGGAAGACAAGAGGAAGAAACAAUUUCUUGAGCCAACUGUGCCUCUUGCCAAUAUAACUUGCUCUCUGUGGCAAUGAAAGUCCUCGUUUUAGGGUCACCUUUGCUUUCUGUACAAACUUGAUAGCCCUUCCCCCUCCAGGCUGCUUGAGAGGGAACACCAGCACUCCCUGUCCCUGUCACAGGUUCCACAAUGUGACCAGCUGCUAGUAAAGAGGACCCCAAUCUUAGCUUUGAUUUUGCUCAAGCACAGCUGUGUGCAGUCUAGGCAGCAGAUCUCCAGAGUUCAAACCUCAGUACUUUCCGUAGGCAGCUGGACCGAGGCUGGAUAAGGAAGCUAGCUAAGAAUAAGCUAGUGAGCUAGCCAGCAAGAGGAGCCUUACUCCUUCCUCAGUUCCUGCUUCCAGUUCUUUACCUGACUUCCUCAAUAAGGAAUUGUGACCAGUGUUCCAGCUAGAAUAACCCCUCUCCUCCUCAAGAUGAUUUUGGUCAGAGCGUUUACCACAGCAGCAGACAGCAAGCCAGAACAGGGCCAGACAGUUACAUAUUAUAAGCUUGAAGGACCAUAUGGACUUUGACAAGGACUAUCACAGUCAGUAGGGGAAUGGCCACAGUGUUUUGAUAAAACUUUGUUGACACACACAAAUUUUCCAUUCAUACACUCUUCCUGUAUCAUGAAAUGUCAUUUGUACUUUGAAUUUCUACGAAACAAUUAGAACCAUGAAUGCCAUUCUUAGCAAAGGGAGAGAGGGAGGACAAACAGCAGGGGGUUUAGAACUCUCUCCAGCCUCUCUCCUCUUAGCAACAAAUUAAGCCAAAAGCCUGGCGCUAGCCAGACUCUAGUUGUCAGUGAUUUGGUACAGUAUGGGCCAGCAAGCACCCCUCUGAGAGACAACCCACUGGAAGAUUCCAGAAACACAGCCUCCUGCAGCUAGAGCUCUGAGAAUUCAGCCCAAACCCAUGGCCAAAAGGCAGGAGGACAAAGACCAGCGUGGAGCUUGUAUUAGUGGGGAGAAAGCCUACGGUGGCUUGAGAGAUGGCAGAAACAAAGGCCCAGGAGAGGCUUUUUAUACCAUGCAUUAAAGUUAAAAUCUAAUUUAGAUGAAAAUUGAGGCGCAGAAAUGAAAAGUGUGUGUGUCUUUAGCCGUUCAGCUGUAUGCCCUCUAACGCUAGCUUCACAAAAUACGUUUGCUUGGCUUGAAAAUAAAGACGAUAUUUCUCCUUUUUCGGC